GACAGAGGAUGCAAGCGUUAUCCGGAAUGAUUGGGCGUAAAGCGUCUGUAGGUGGCUUUUUAAGUCUGCCAUCAAAUCCCAGGGCUUAACCCUGGACAGGCGGUGGAAACUACCAAGCUGGAGUACGGUAGGGGCAGGGGGAAUUUCCGGUGGAGCGGUGAAAUGCGUAGAGAUCGGAAAGAACACCAACGGCGAAAGCACUCUGCUGGGCCGACACUGACACUGAGAGACGAAAGCUAGGGGAGCGAAUGGG
rnacentral:rRNA from 1 species